rnacentral:rRNA from 1 species
UACGUAGGUGGCAAGCGUUAUCCGGAUUUACUGGGUGUAAAGGGAGCGUAGACGGCAAGGCAAGUCUGAUGUGAAAGGUCGGGGCCCAACCCCGGAACUGCUUUGGAAACUGUGCAGCUGGAGUGCAGGAGAGGUAAGUGGAAUUCCUAGUGUAGCGGUGAAAUGCGUAGAUAUUAGGAGGAACACCAGUGGCGAAGGCGGCUUACUGGACUGUAACUGACGUUGAGGCUCGAAAGCGUGGGGAGCAA